ACUUGAAAACUCUCAUUAAAUCAUAGUAAAUUAUUACAUUAAACAGAGUGACAUUCUUAUGUUAAUCACAUUUGAUACAUCUAUUUCUGAGCAUAGCUUUUGCUAUGUGAUUCAAUGCUCACGUUUGCUAUGUGAAUCAAUUGUGAUUCAAUGUUCUCUAUGAAGGAGUUUGUGAUCAUAAGCUAAGGUGAGAGUUGCUGAACUGUGUAUCUCAUAUACUAUUUCCGCCUUCAUGGUACUGCUGAAUGUUCUAUCUAAGGUAAUUAAAAAGAGGUGAAAAAGACAAAAUGCACUACGUAUAAUAAACCACUAGACUUGAAUUCAGAGAAACUUUUAUUCAAUGUAGGAUGUUUUAACUUGUUCACUGAACAACUAAUUUACUAUCUAUAUAGUUGAACUUUCUGAUGUAUGAGCCAAGGAUAUUUGGUGAAGCAGUCUUUAUUCUGCUCUAAAAUUCUUAUAUUUUCUAUGUGUAAUAAAUAAAAAUACCAUGUCAUGAUAUUUCAAUAUUUUAAUUAUUAUUAUCCUCCAAAUGUAAUUUAUUCUGCAAUAAAUUUAUACCACUCUGGCCAUAGUUAUAUUUAUUCAGGACUGUACAAAAGCAAAUAGGUGAAUGAUUUCUAAGCCAAAUUUUGCAUAACUUAAUUAAGGGUAACUUAGUCUGUUGGAUUAAAAUUAUUACAUUAUGCCCUGUUGCUAUGUGCAUUUUUAAUAAUUGGGAAUUGAGAGAUGAGAAAAGUUAAGAAUAAUCAGAUUUAAUUAAAACAACUCUAUUCAAUAUGUAGUCUCAUAAUUCACAUUUUAUAGUAAAGUAAAUUUUACCUGUUUUAACAUUUAUUCAAAAGAGCAUUACGUGACACAUAAUAAUUUCCUCUGCCCUACCUCUGUCAUUACUAGAGAAUUACAUAGAAAGAAAGUAUUAUUUUCUUCUGUCUGAUUAACUGCAAUAUUCUAUUCUGUUGUUGCUAGGCUACAACAGAUUUCAAUCUUUUUUAAUGUUGUUCUAUAGAAAAUAACUAAAAUGUAUUAGUCUCAGUAGGAGUAUAUUGGUGGCAAUCUCUCAAAUCAGUUGCCAUACUCGCUACAUAAAAGUAGUUAUUUUUUACCUUAAUAUGCAUAGUGAUUAAUAUAGUUCUAUUUCUAGAAGAGAGGGAGUUUAAAAUUUUUGACUAUAAAUGUCCUCUUAAAAACUUUAUGAAUUUUAAUUUUAUCUUAAAAUGACAAAGGCCC
rnacentral:lncRNA from 1 species